rnacentral:rRNA from 1 species
GAUGAACGCUAGCGGCAGGCUUAACACAUGCAAGUCGAGGGGUAUAGUUCUUCGGAACUAGAGACCGGCGCACGGGUGCGUAACGCGUAUGCAAUCUACCUUUCACAAAGGGAUAGCCCAGAGAAAUUUGGAUUAAUACCUUAUAGUAAUACGACUUGGCAUCAAGAUGUAUUUAAAGAUUUAUCGGUGAAAGAUGAGCAUGCGUCCAUUAGCUUGUUGGUAAGGUAACGGCUUACCAAGGCAACGAUGGGUAGGGGUCCUGAGAGGGAGAUCCCCCACACUGGUACUGAGACACGGACCAGACUCCUACGGGAGGCAGCAGUGAGGAAUAUUGGUCAAUGGGCGCAAGCCUGAACCAGCCAUGCCGCGUGCAGGAAGACGGUCCUAUGGAUUGUAAACUGCUUUUUAUAACAGGAAGAAACCCUCCCACGUGUGGGAGCUUGACGGUACUGUAGGAAUAAGGAUCGGCUAACUCCGUGCCAGCAGCCGCGGUAAAGUCGUACG